CUUCCGUAGGUGAACCUGCGGAAGGAUCAUUACCGAGUGAGGGCCCUCUGGGUCCAACCUCCCACCCGUGUUUAUUUUACCUUGUUGCUUCGGCGGGCCCGCCUUAACUGGCCGCCGGGGGGCUUACGCCCCCGGGCCCGCGCCCGCCGAAGACACCCUCGAACUCUGUCUGAAGAUUGUAGUCUGAGUGAAAAUAUAAAUUAUUUAAAACUUUCAACAACGGAUCUCUUGGUUCCGGCAUCGAUGAAGAACGCAGCGAAAUGCGAUACGUAAUGUGAAUUGCAAAUUCAGUGAAUCAUCGAGUCUUUGAACGCACAUUGCGCCCCCUGGUAUUCCGGGGGGCAUGCCUGUCCGAGCGUCAUUGCUGCCCUCAAGCACGGCUUGUGUGUUGGGCCCCGUCCUCCGAUCCCGGGGGACGGGCCCGAAAGGCAGCGGCGGCACCGCGUCCGGUCCUCGAGCGUAUGGGGCUUUGUCACCCGCUCUGUAGGCCCGGCCGGCGCUUGCCGAUCAACCCAAAUUUUUAUCCAGGUGACCUCGAUCA
rnacentral:rRNA from 1 species